CCACCAUGUAACACAUGCCUUAGCUCCUCCUUUGCCUUCUGCCAUGAUUGUGAGGCCUCCCUAGCCAUGUGGAACUGUCCUUUCUUUACUGGAGAUGAAACCUUUGCUCCUAAGGUGGUAACUGAGGGAUGGAUGAGAUGAUUUCAAACCAGAGAGUUGAUAAAAUGGGAGUACACAGAAGACAAGAGGACGAACAGAAGAGCAGAAGAACUGCAGGAACCACAGCAGAGAGAAGAGAAGGAGUGUCUGUACACUGAGAGGAGUUCAACUGGGGAUGGCUGGAGAGGAGAUCAGCCUCUGGACUGCCAAACUCCAAGGGAAGAUCAUCAUCCCACUCCACCCCCGUUCCAGCUCCCCAUCCAUCCCACUA